GACGUAGGGUCCAAGCGUUGUCCGGAUUUACUGGGCGUAAAGAGCGCGUAGGCGGCUCGGUAAGUGUGAAGUGAAAUCUCUAGGGCUCAACCCAGAAACUGCUUUACAUACUGCCAAGCUGGAGUGAUGAAGAGGUUUGUGGAAUUCCUGGUGUAGCGGUGAAAUGCGUUGAUAUCAGGAGGAACACCUAUGGGCGAAGGCGGCGCUCUGGGCCGGUACUGACACUGAGGAGCGACAGCGUGGGGAGCAAACAGG
rnacentral:rRNA from 1 species